GCCGGGGUGGCGGAACUGGCAGACGCAUCGGACUUAAAAUCCGGUGAGCCUUCUGUGCUCGUGUGGGUUCGAAUCCCACCCCCGGCA
rfam:Acetohalobium arabaticum DSM 5501, complete genome.